GUGAUUGUAGCUCAGUUGGUUAGAGCGCUGGAUUGUGGUUCCAGAGGUCGCCGGUUCGAAACCGGUCUUUCACCCA
rnacentral:tRNA from 1 species